rnacentral:ncRNA from 1 species
AUUAAACCGUUGAUCGGGAGUAAGUAGUUACAAGAGAUGUUUUUCAGAGAGUUGUCGGUUGGUGUGAGACAAUAAACUAUCAGUAAUGAAUGGACCUGAGAGGGCAGCUUGAAACCAAUAUGAUAAUCAUAGGAAGUAGACGCUGACGGAUCCUUACCGUUAUAGAAGGUAGCAUAUGAUGGUAUGCAAUGAGUGAAUGUGUUAUACAUUAAUUUGGGUGGCACCGCAGAAGUUUAUUAUAGCUUUUGUCCCUUUA